GAUAAACGCUGGCGGCGUGCCUAAUACAUGCAAGUCGAACGCUUAAUAUCCAGCUUGCUGGAUAGAGAGAGUGGCGAACGGGUGAGUAAUACAUAAGCAACCUGCCUACAAGGACUGGGAUAACUUCUGGAAACGGAUGCUAAUACCGGAUAGGUAAUAGGAAGACAUCUUCUUAUUAUUAAAGGUUAAAAACACAAGUAGAUGGGCUUAUGGCGCAUUAGUUAGUUGGUGAGGUAACGGCCCACCAAGACGAUGAUGCGUAGCCGGCCUGAGAGGGUGAACGGCCACAUUGGGACUGAGACACGGCCCAAACUCCUACGGGAGGCAGCAGUAGGGAAUUUUCGGCAAUGGGCGCAAGCCUGACCGAGCAACGCCGCGUGAGUGAUGAAGGUUUUCGGAUUGUAAAGCUCUGUUGUAAGGGAAGAACGUCUUGGAGAGAAUCCAGGAGUGACGGUACCUUACCAGAAAGCCACGGCUAACUACGUGCCAGCCGCCGCCGUAACAC
rnacentral:rRNA from 1 species